UACGAAGGGGGCUAGCGUUGCUCGGAAUUACUGGGCGUAAAGGGAGCGUAGGCGGAUCGUUAAGUUGGGGGUGAAAGCCCGGGGCUCAACCUCGGAAUGGCCUUUGAGACUAGAGGACUUGGGUACGGGAGAGGUGAGUGGAAUUCCGAGUGUAGAGGUGAAAUUCGUAGAUAUUCGGAAGAACACCAGUGGCGAAGGCGGCUCACUGGCCCGUUACCGACGCUCAGGCGCGACAGCGUGGGGAGCAAACAGG
rnacentral:rRNA from 1 species